GCUGAAAACCUAGCCCAACGAAUAUGAAUUAGACCAAGCUAAUGAAUUAUGUAAAUUAAAUCAUUUUAUAUUUCUAGUAAAGGAGAUUGAAAAAUCAAUUGGAGCUAUAAUUAUAGUACCGCAAGGGAACGGUGAAAUAUUGAGUGAAAAACUUCAAGCAACAAAAAGUAAUGGUUACCCCAUGUACCUUUUGCAUCAUGGUUUAACUAGCAUAAUCAAGCAAAAUGCAUUUUAGUUUGACCUCCCGAAACUAAGUGAGCUACUUCAGGGCAGCUAAGAGAGCCAACCCGUCUCUGUUGCAAAAGAGUGGGACGACCUUCAAGUAGCGGUGACAGACCUAACGAACUUAGUGAUAGCUGGUUACUCAAGAAAGGGAUCUAAGUCCAACCUAAAAUUCUACAAUUUAGUAAAUCAAAACUACAACCUGAGUUUUAACGUAAUUCAAAUAAGGUACAGCCUAUUUGAAACAGGAUACAACCUAGACCAACGGAUAAUUUUAGCUUAUAAGACAACCAAGUGGGCCCAAAAGCAGCCAUCUUUAGAAUUGCGUCAAAGCUUAAUUGUUUACACGCCUAAUUUUUCUAUUACUUCUUAAUCCUUCACCUGUACUGAGUAAUUCUAUACUUCUAUAGAAAAUUUAAUGUUAAAACUAGUAACAAGAAGAAAGCCCUUCUCUAAAAUGUAAGUGUAAAUCAGGCAGGACAGACCACUGAUAAUUAACAUAUUUGAGCCAAAAGUAACAACACAUCAAGAAAACCUUACUUAUAUUUAUGUUAACCUAACACAAGAGCAUCUUAAUGAAAGAUUAAAAGAAAAAGAAGGAACUCGGCAAAUAUUAACCCCGCCUGUUUACCAAAAACAUCGCCUCUUGAAUUUCAUAAGAGGUCCAGCCUGCCCAGUGACUCUGUUCAACGGCCGCGGUAUCCUAACCGUGCGAAGGUAGCGUAAUCACUUGUUCUUUAAUUGUGGACUAGUAUGAAUGGCACCACGAGGGUUAUACUGUCUCCUUUUUCUAAUCAGUGAAACUAAUCUCUCCGUGAAGAAGCGGAGAUGAAUAUAUAAGACGAGAAGACCCUAUGGAGCUUUAAACAAUAUAGCAAUUACCAUACUACAUAAAUUUUUCUGAAUCACUUAAUUUUCAAGGUAGCAUGACUAUUAGUUUUUGGUUGGGGUGACCGCGGAGCAAAAUCCAACCUCCAUGCUGAAUGAUUAAACUUCUAAGCUAAGACCUACGUGUCUAAGCAUCAGCAUACUGACACUUAUUGACCCAAUAUAUUUGAGCAACGAACCAAGUUACCCUAGGGAUAACAGCGCAAUCCACUUCAAGAGCUCCUAUCGACAAGUGGGUUUACGACCUCGAUGUUGGAUCAGGGUAUCCCAGUGGUGCAGCCGCUACUAAAGGUUCG
rnacentral:rRNA from 1 species